CCUACGGGUGGCAGCAGUGGGGGAUAUUGCACAAUGGGCGCAACCCUGAUGCAGCGACGCCGCGUAAGCGAUGAAGUAUUUCGGUAUGUAAAGCCCUAUUAGCAGGGAAGAAAAUGACGGUAUCUGACUAAGAAGCUCCGGCUAAAUCCGUGCCAGCAGCCGCGGUAAUACGUAUGGAGCAAGCGUUAUCCGGAUUUACUGGGUGUAAAGGGAGCGUAGGCGGCACUGGAAGUCAGAUGUGAAAUCUUGGGGCUUAACCCUAAACGUGCAUUGGAAACUGCAAGGCUAGAGUGCCGGAGAGGCAGGCGGAAUUCCUGGUGUAGCGGUAAAAUGCGUAGAGAUUAAGAGGAACACUAGUGGCGAAGGCGACCUGCUGGACCAUAACUGACGCUGAGGCUCGAAAGCGUGGGGAGCAAACAGGAUUAGAUACCCUAGUAGUC
rnacentral:rRNA from 1 species